CAUGCAAGUCGAGCGAGAAGCUAACUUCGGUUAGUGGACAGCGGCGCACGGGUGAGUAACGCGUGGGAAUUUACCUUUCGGCGGGGGACAACAGUUGGAAACGACUGCUAAUACCGCAUACGCCCUACGGGGGAAAGAUUUAUCACCGAAAGAUAGGCCCGCGUUAGAUUAGGUAGUUGGUAGGGUCAAAGCCUACCAAGCCGACGAUCUAUAGCUGGUUUGAGAGAACGAUCAGCCACACUGGAACUGAGACACGGUCCAGACUCCUACGGGAGGCAGCAGUGGGGAAUCUUGCACAAUGGGCGAAAGCCUGACGCAGCCAUGCCGCGUGAGUGCUAAGGCCUUCGGGUUGUAAAACUCUUUUAGAUGUGAAGAUGAUGACGGUAACAUCAGAAAAAGCACCGGCUAACUUCGUGCCAGCAGCCGCGGUAAUACGAAGGGUGCUAGCGUUGUUCGGAAUUACUGGGCGUAAAGAGCGUGUAGGCGGCUUAGCAAGUUAGAGGUGAAAUCCCAGGGCUUAACCCUGGAACUGCCUUUGAUACUGCUAAGCUUGAGAUCGUGAGGGGAUAGCGGAAUACCCAGUGUAGAGGUGAAAUUCGU
rnacentral:rRNA from 1 species